rnacentral:lncRNA from 1 species
CUCCACUCAUUGUACGCUGGGAUAGAUCUUGAUUUUUGCUUACAGAGAACUGAGGUUUUCAGAUCAAUUCCUGGUAGAGUGAUGGAGUGCUCUCUCGUUCCAUCAGGGUAUGGCACAGGACCGUGCAAGUGCAGAAACUGGCACUGAUGGUAGUCAGGACAUAAGCAUGAAGCUAUCACCAAGGCAGGCUGUAGAUUUUAUGGGAAAUUGUCCUGCAUUUCUUGUUUUCCUUAGACUCUGACAUGCCCUGUCUCUUGAGACUGUUUUGGAGCCACCUGUGCUGAACGUGACCUUUGAUGGUCCCCUCCAAAGGACUCCAAUGUUAGAGGGAAACAAAUGCUUCAUCUGUUUGUAAAAUAAGUGAGGGCUGGAAAAUGAGCUGACCCAUUUGAAGACCUGGACUUGCAAUAAUUGGGAUGGAUUUCAGGUGCCCUCAUGCUCAUAACAAGAAUUCAUUCUUAGCACAGUUUUGGUACCUCAGUGCCGUUGCAACAGCCGGGAGCACAGCGGGGGCUGCAAAACCCAUUCAUGAAGUUAAAGUACUCCAGUGGAGGUCCUGUGGGAAGCUGUGCACCAUGUUACCUCCCUGCUGUAACACCUCCUUCGGACUCAUAGACGCAGAGGAAUCCCUUUACAGCUGCACUCGGUGGGUAUUCCUGAAGGAGAGGAGGGAAGAGAGGCAAAGAUGCUCUGGCCUGUCUCUUAAAAUGCGUGCAGUUGGCAGAACUAACCUCACCGUGUGUUGGGGCACGGCGCUCUGGAGCGAGCGUCGCAGCUACGACCGCUCUGGUUUAGAGCAUCUUGUUCAGAGCUGGAUGCACCAGAGUGAAAGUGGCUUGAGCUUGUCUUCAUCAGCUCUAUGACAUGUAAAUCAUCCAACCUUUAUUAAACUUAUUAGCGCUAAAGUGAAUGUAAACACAUGUGUGUAACAUUCUCUAAUUUAGUGGAAGGAGAACAAAGAAACCAUCUUGAACAUUGUUCCUUACCUUGACCUCAUUCUUCACCUAAUAUGGAUUUUAUACAAUAAUAUACAACACUGUAAGCAACAGCUCUGCAGGCUCUGCCCAGUCACCUGAACACCUGCAGAAUGAGCUUUAUAGCCUGCUAAUUGCAUUUAAACCACAUGUAGUGGUUUAAAUACAAGCAGUAUUUGGCUAUUGCACAGUGAUGAAAAAGUAUUGC